GACGGGUGCGUAACGCGUACGAAACAUACCUUCAACAGGGAGAUACCUCCGGGAAACUGGAAAUAAUACCCCGUAGUAUUGUGACAUCGCAUGAUGUUACAAUUAAAGCUUUGGCGGUUGAAGAUUGUCGUGCGUCUGAUUAGCUAGUUGGUGAGGUAACGGCUCACCAAGGCGACGAUCAGUAGCUGGUCUGAGAGGAUGAUCAGCCACACUGGAACUGAGACACGGUCCAGACUCCUACGGGAGGCAGCAGUAGGGAAUAUUGGACAAUGGGCGGAAGCCUGAUCCAGCCAUCCCGCGUGUAGGAAUAAGGCCCUAUGGGUUGUAAACUACUUUUAUUAGGGAAGAAAACUUUAGAUUUAUCAGAGCUUGACGGUACCUAAGGAAUAAGCACCGGCUAACUCCGUG
rnacentral:rRNA from 1 species